CAAUAUAUUUUGACAGAUAUUCUAGAAAUAGAUCAUCGACUUUCAAUGAAAAAAAAUAUAUAGUUCCUAAACUAUCUUUGUUUGCAAGUAUGUGGAAUGAAUCUGUUUAUAUGUUCUUUAUUCUAUUUUAUUUCUUUCCCGUUUUUUCUCCUGUUUGAUUGGCGGGUUUGGGGUUUGCUUCCAUCAGUUAUACCGGUCUCUAAAAGUAAUUGUGAGAAAGAUAAUAUUAUUUUGAAUAAAGGGUAAACCAAACAUGCUGAUUUGGUGAUGAUCUAUCCCUUUGUCUAAGCACUGUUUGGAUGUGUCAACGUAUUUUGCUUUUGAGCAGGAAUUUUAACUUUCUGACGCCAGACCUUAUUUGAAUGGCACGAGAAAGGUCAUUAAAAGAACUCAUCAUAAUCUUAUCACCCAAGGAAGCGACUUUGUUGGCCCAAAAAAAAGAUAUGUAAGACCGUGCAUGAUCUUUUCCAUGUUCUGCAAACAUGAGAAUGACCCACGUCACCAUGUUUAGAAAUUCCAUUUUCCAUGAUUUUGUGCAGUUUUGCAGUGUUACAGUUAGGCAAUAUCAGAGGAUAUGACAACCAAACACGUACCUAAGUAUCGUGCCGUGCUGAAGGUUUGGCAAAUGAACCCAAAGGCCUUUUGCUGGCGAAGCAAUCACUCAUCUAUCUGAAUCAGCAAUGAAGCAGCAAGUUCAUAGGCCAACACCAGAUAACAGAAAAGAAAGAAAGAAAAAGAAAAGAUAAAAGAAAGACCGGAAGAGACUACACAAAGCCACAAGUUAUAGGAGCCCAUGUGCAGGUUUUGCAUGAAUCUCUUUCACAUGACCUAUUCCUUUCUUUUUCUUUAUUAAACCCUUGGUGCUGUGGUGUGGUUGAAAUGGGCAAUAGGCCAUGCUGAGCUGCACAUGCCUCCUAACUACUGUUUAUGCCCAUCUCAGUAUACCACUCAGCUGAGAACAGAUGAAUGAAAGUAGAGCUGCUGCAAGAGCCGAGCAUUUCUUUACUUUUUCUGCUUCUGAAGAGGAUUGCCAUGUCACGGCCAGAUCAGCCUUGUCACCCACAUGAGUUGAUUGGUCAAUUAGGGUCCUUAAGCUUUAAGGUAUUAAAAGGCAGCGCGAAAGAUAAAGAAAAAUGUGGGGAAGCGAAAAGAGCUCAUUCCCACCUAGAGUGUCAAGCAGUUGACAAAGUGUGAUGGUCCGUGUCUCAUCCCUUCCUAUGAGGUAACUGCCAAUACUGAUGAUUCCUGGUCAACUGUCAUUUCUCUGACUUCCCAAGAAAUGAUAAGAUAAGCAGAUGAUAAGGAAUCUUGGAAUUGCUAUUCCUUUCACUUAUCUGCAUCUUUUCCCAAGUGGCAUAAUCGGGACGUUGUAACAUCGGAUAGUUUACGACAUCACACGCAGCCGAGGACUUCUUUUAAAGAUUAUUGGUUUGACUGAGAGAAGAUAUGCAAAAGGGCAAUCAUCUUCCAAUCAAGCAAAGAGCAGCAACCCCCCAAAAUUUCAUGACCUUGUCCAAGCAAUCCAAUAGAAUAGUUGAGCCUCUGAUCGACAAGCACCCAGAGGUAUAAAGAGGGCAAUAGGACACAAUGUCGGUGACAGGAUUAGGCAUUAUUUUGAAAGUCAGCAACUGUCCCAAUAUAACAGUGACAGGAUUAGGCAUUAUUUUGGCCAAAUACCACUCCCUGGAAUAUCUUGACGUGAGAUCAUGUCCACAUAUUUCAAAGGCAGCUUGUGAUGAGACUGGGUUAAAGUUUCCUGACUGUUGUAAGGUCAACUAUGCCGGCAGGUUGUCCGAGCCUGAUAUGUUACUUUAGCCGCUUGAAUUGGUAUAUCGAGCGUUGUUGGCCAAUUUUCAAGUGCAAAAAGAAACUGAUGAAAGUUCAGCUAUGGGAGUUGAAGAAAAGUUUCAGCUAUGGAUUUUCCUCGCAAGACUUACUGUGUACAUCUGUCCGGGGUGCUAUACCACAACUCGAAGGGGUAUCCAUCUGUUCCUAGUGCUUGUGCAUUUUGUGAUUGAUAUGGUUUGGAGAGUCAUUUGCUUUGAGUUAUAUGUAACCGGAAGUUAAUCUAUGUAAAUUGAGCAAACUUGCUUUCUUUCCUGACAUUCCUACAAUUUUAUUACUCUUCAAUGCACCUUUUCUAUCUGC